rnacentral:rRNA from 1 species
AAAUGAAUAGACGGGGGCCCGCACAAGCGGCGGAGCAUGCGGAUUAAUUCGAUGCAACGCGAAGAACCUUACCAAGGCUUGACAUCCACCAGAAACAUGCAGAGAUGUGUGCCCCUUCGGGUUGGUGGACAGGUGGUGCAUGGUUGUCGUCAGCUCGUGUCGUGAGAUGUUGGGUUAAGUCCCGCAACGAGCGCAACCCUUGUCUCAUGUUGCCAGCGGGUUAUGCCGGGGACUCAUGGGAGACUGCCGGGGUGAACUCGGAGGAAGGUGGGGAUGACGUCAAAUCAUCAUGCCCCUUAUGUCUUGGGCUUCACGCAUGCUACAAUGGCCGGUACAACGAGUUGCGAUACUGUGAGGUGGAGCGAAUCUCUAAAAGCCGGUCUCAGUUCGGAUUGGGGUCUGCAACUCGACCCCAUGAAGUCGGAGUCGCUAGUAAUCGCAGAUCAGCAACGCUGCGGUGAAUACGUUCCCGGGCCUUGUACACACCGCCCGU